CGAGCUAAGCAAGGAAAGAAGAUUUCGAAUCAGAACCAGGACAUUUGUCUUGAUGAAGAUAGCAUCAGUUCUACAAUGACAUCUAGUACUCUAGGAUACAGGGACAGUUUUGGAGAAAAUGACGACAGUUGCUUUGAUUUGUUGGAACGGUAUGAUAACAGCUCAGCUAUUCUGCAAUUACUGCAGAGUAGGCGUAGAGAGAAUAGAAUUGAAGAAGACAUUCAACAGGAGGAGGAUGGCGAUGAAGGACAUGCUCAACAUGAAUCAAGAGAUCAAAAUACUUUUAUCUAAAUCUAAAUUCACAAAAUUACAAUCCUAAAGAAAAAUGUGCAGAACAGAAUGAGGAACUUUUUUCAGUUUGAAACAAAAAGAAUGUAAAGAAAUCAAUGAAAGAAUUUUGCAGUGUUUUUUAUUGAACUUGAGACGAAUAACUCAACU